rnacentral:rRNA from 1 species
AACGAACGCUGGCGGCAGGCUUAACACAUGCAAGUCGAACGCCCCGCAAGGGGAGUGGCAGACGGGUGAGUAACGCGUGGGAACGUGCCCUUCGCUUCGGAAUAGCCCCGGGAAACUGGGAGUAAUACCGAAUACGCCGUAUUGGGAAGGAUUUAUCGGCGAAGGAUCGGCCCGCGUUAGAUUAGCUAGUUGGCGGUGUAAUGGACCACCAAGGCUACGAUCUAUAGCUGGUCUGAGAGGAUGAUCAGCCACACUGGGACUGAGACACGGCCCAGACUCCUACGGGAGGCAGCAGUGGGGAAUCUUGGACAAUGGGCGCAAGCCUGAUCCAGCCAUGCCGCGUGAGUGAAGAAGGCCUUAGGGUUGUAAAACUCUUUCGCCGGAGAAGAUAAUGACGGUAUCCGGAGAAGAAGCCCCGGCUAACUUCGUGCCAGCAGCCGCAGUAACAC